AUUUACUUUUAAAACCAAGCAUAUAUUAAUAGGCCUAGUUUAUUAAUACAUUUCUUACAAUGGAGAGAUGUGUUCUACUGAUUCUUAUAACAGUACCAGGUGUAUUUGCUGACAGCAUUGAACCAAAAGACAAGGACAAUACAAUCAGUAAAGAAGGAGAGUCUGUGACACUGAGCUGUUCAUAUGAUACAAGCAGCAACUAUAUUUUACUUUACUGGUACAGACAGUAUCCAAACAGAGAACCCCAGUAUUUACUGUAUAAAGGUGCUCGAUCAUGGCGCAAUGAGCAAAAUAUACCAGACCGUCGUUUUCAGACGACUACAUCAGAUACAUCCACUGAACUCACUAUUACAAGUGUUACUCUGUCAGAUUCAGCUCUCUAUUAUUGUGCUCUAAGAGUUGGAGCCCAGUGA